GGGCUGCAGUGGGGAAUAUUGGACAAUGGGCGCAAGCCUGAUCCAGCCAUGCCGCGUGAGUGAUGAAGGCCCUAGGGUUGUAAAGCUCUUUUAGCAGGGAAGAUAAUGACGGUACCUGCAGAAAAAGCCCCGGCUAACUUCGUGCCAGCAGCCGCGGUAAUACGAAGGGGGCUAGCGUUGUUCGGAUUUACUGGGCGUAAAGCGCACGUAGGCGGAUUGUUAAGUCAGAGGUGAAAUCCCAGGGCUCAACCCUGGAACUGCCUUUGAUACUGGCAAUCUUGAGUCCGAGAGAGGUGAGUGGAAUUCCUAGUGUAGAGGUGGAAUUCGUAGAUAUUAGGAAGAACACCAGUGGCGAAGGCGGCUCACUGGCUCGGUACUGACGCUGAGGUGCGAAAGCGUGGGGAGCAAACAGGAUUAGAUACCCCAGUAGUC
rnacentral:rRNA from 1 species